GGCAGUGACAGACGGAGCAGGCUUCUCCAGCGCUUCAAAUGAGGAACUACUCCAAAUUAUCAGUGAGACAGGCGACAUGAAGGUGAAAUUCAGAGAGAUGGACUUCAGGGGUGGCCUCCUCCUCUUGCCUUCCUUCUUCAAGGAAAAGAUCGAAGAUAUCAUCGUUCUUGGAAAGCGCUGAAGGUGGUCCAGGGGUUCAGGACUCUGAGUGGAGACUGGGACACGUGGGUUCGACUCCUGCCUCAGCAGAUCUGAGUUCAUUCAUGGCGUGGUUCCGGCGACCCUCCACCUCCCCAGCACCGCCAAGUCUACAAGUCCAUCAACUAUGGACUAAGAUGACUUGUUCAGCCAUCACCA